rnacentral:misc_RNA from 1 species
UCCGGUUUGGCACCGGCAGUCUCUCUAGAGUGCCCGGCUUGACCCGCUGGUAACUAGAGACGGGGGUUGCGCUCGUUGCGGGACUUAACCCAACAUCUCACGACACGAGCUGACGACAGCCAUGCAGCACCUGUGCACGGACUCCGAAGAGGGCCCCUCGUUUCUGAAGGGUUUCCCGUGCAUGUCAAGCCCAGGUAAGGUUCUUCGCGUUGCGUCGAAUUAAUCCACAUAAUCCACCGCUUGUGCGGGUCCCCGUCAAUUCCUUUGAGUUUUAACCUUGCGGCCGUACUCCCCAGGCGGUCAACUUCACGCGUUAGCUUCGUUACCAAGGGAAUUAAUCCCCCGACAACCAGUUGACAUAGUUUAGGGCGUGGACUAC